CAGUCCACACCAUCACACACACACACCCACACACAUCCAUACAGUCCAUACCAUCACACACACCCGCACACAUCCAUACAGUCCACACCAUCACACACACACCCGCACACAUCCAUACAGUCCACACCAUAACACACACACACAUCUAUACAGUCCACACCGUCACACACACACACAUCUAUACAGUCCACACCUGUUACAUGCACACAUCUAUACAGUCCACACCGUCACACAUCUAUACAGUCCACACCGUCAUACACACACACGUCUAUACAGUCCACACUGUCACACAUCCGUACAGUCCACACUGUCAUACAAACACACACACAUCUAUACGGUCCACACCGUCACACAUCCAUACAGUCCACACCGUCAUACAAACACACACACAUCUAUACAGUCCACACCUGUUACAUGCACACAUCUAUACAGUCCACACCGUCACACAUCCAUACAGUCCACACCGUCAUACACACACACAUCUAUACAGUCCACACCGUCUCACAUCUAUACAGUCCACACUGUCAUACACACACAUCUAUACAGUCCACACCGUCACACAUCCAUAUAGUCCACACCAUCAUACACACACACAUCUCUACAGUCCACACCAUCACAUGCACACACACAUCUAUAUGGUCUACACCGUCACACACACACACACAUCUAUACAGUCCACACCGUCACAUAUCUGUACAGUCCACACCGUCACACACACACGCCCACACCCGCAUGCCACACAUCCAUACAGUCCACAUUCACGUAUGCCCAUAUGCAUCCAUUCACACGUGUGUACACAUGCUCACACACACACAUUCAUAGACUCCACACAUGCACACGUGCACACACACGCACAUGCUCGCACACAUGCACAGAUACACUCACGUCCACACACGCUCAAACAUGCGUGCACACCCG
rnacentral:lncRNA from 1 species